rnacentral:pre_miRNA from 1 species
AGUGUGAUUGCUGGGUUAUAUGGUAAGUCUAUGUUUAACUUUAUAAGAAACUGUCAAAGUGUCUUUUAAAGUAGCUAUACUAUUUUGCAUUCCCACCAGCAAA